rnacentral:tRNA from 3 species
GGGGCAUUAGCUCAGUUGGUAGAGUGCUUGCAUGGCAUGCAAGAUGUCAGCGGUUCAAAUCCGCUAUGCUCCA